rnacentral:rRNA from 1 species
GACGAACGCUGGCGGCGUGCUUAACACAUGCAAGUCGAACGGAAAGGCCCUGCUUUUGUGGGGUGCUCGAGUGGCGAACGGGUGAGUAACACGUGAGUAACCUGCCCUUGACUUUGGGAUAACUUCAGGAAACUGGGGCUCAUACCGGAUAGGAGCUCCUGCUGCAUGGUGGGGGUUGGAAAGUUUCGGCGGUUGGGGAUGGACUCGCGGCUUAUCAGCUUGUGGGUGGGGUAGUGGCUUACCAAGGCUUUGACGGGUAGCCGGCCGGAGAGGGUGGCCGGCCACAUUGGGCCUGCGAUACGGCCCAGUCUCCUACGUGAGGCAGCAGUGGGGAAUAUUGCACAAUGGGCGGAAGCCUGAUGCAGCAACGCCGCGUGCGGGAUGACGGCCUUCGGGUUGUAAACCGCUUUCGCCUGUGACGAAGCGUGAGUGACGGUAAUGGGUAAAGAAGCACCGGCUAACUACGUG